GGCAGGAUGGCCGAGUGGUCUAAGGCGCUGCGUUCAGGUCGCAGUCUCCUCUGGAGGCGCGGAUUCGAAUCCCGCUCCUGUCA
rfam:Ciona savignyi cont_64078, whole genome shotgun sequence.